GACGAACGCUGGCGGCGUGCCUAAUACAUGCAGGUAGAACGCUGAAGAGAGGAGCUUGCUCUUCUUGGAUGAGUUGCGAACGGGUGAGUAGCGCGUAGGUAACCUGCCUUGUAGCGGGGGAUAACUAUUGGAAACGAUAGCUAAUACCGCAUAACAAUGGAUGACACAUGUCAUUUAUUUGAAAGGGGCAAUUGCUCCACUACAAGAUGGACCUGCGUUGUAUUAGCUAGUAGGUGAGGUAAUGGCUCACCUAGGCGACGAUACAUAGCCGACCUGAGAGGGUGAUCGGCCACACUGGGACUGGGACACGGCCCAGACUCCUACGGGAGGCAGCAGUAGGGAAUCUUCGGCAAUGGGGGCAACCCUGACCGAGCAACGCCGCGUGAGUGAAGAAGGUUUUCGGAUCGUAAAGCUCUGUUGUAAGUCAAGAACGGGUGUGAGAGUGGAAAGUUCACACUGUGACGGUAGCUUACCAGAAAGGGACGGCUAACUACGUG
rnacentral:rRNA from 1 species